UGAUGAAUGAGGUGCUGGGAGUCGGGGUAAUAUGUGUGUGGCAAGGGUUUGUCGGAGUUAGUGGGGUUAAAGGGGUGGUAUGUGGUGUCGUAAGUCAGUUGUGAAAGACGGCAGCUUAACUGUCGGUGUGCAAUUGAUACGGGGACACUUGAGUACUGAUGAGGUAAGCGGAAUGGACGGUGUAGCGGUGAAAUGCUUAGAUAUCGUCCAGAACACCGAUAGCGAAGGCAGCUUACUAAGGAGUAACUGACGCUGAGGCACGAAAGUGUGGGGAUCAAACAGGAUUAGAUACCCUAAGUC
rnacentral:rRNA from 1 species